UUCAUUUUAUUUUUACUAUUUUGAGUAGGAAUCUCACUCUGUUGUCCAGGUUGGAGUGCAGAGGCAUGCU
rnacentral:snoRNA from 1 species